rnacentral:lncRNA from 1 species
AUGGCUCCCAGAAAGAAGGGUGGCGAGAAGAAAAAGGGUCAUUCGGCCAUCAAUGAGGUGGUGACCUGAGAAUACACCAUCAACAUUCACAAGUGCAUCCAUGGAGUGGCUUCAAGAAGCGUGCUCCUCAGGCACUCAAAGAGAUUCGGAAACUUGCCAUGAAGGAGAUGGGAACUCCAGAUGUGUGCAUUGAUACCAGCCUCAACAAAGCUGUCUGAGACAAAGGAAUAAAGAAUGUCCCAUACUGCAUCCGUGUGCGGUUGUCCAGAAAAUGUUAUGAGGAUGAAGAUCCACCAAAUAAGCUCUAUACUUUGGUUACCUAUGUACCUGUUACCACUUUCAAAAAUCUACAGACAGUCAAUGUGGAUGAGAACUAA